ACUGGGCUGGCCGCGGCCACCGGCGAGACGCACGGGCGGCCGCAGACGACGCGCGGCCACCGCCUCGUAGUCUAGUAUUCCGUAUUCCAUCUUCGAUUGCAAGCGAUUCUCUUCCCUCUUUCUUGUUUACUGACUUCGAUUUCAUACUCAGAUGCAAGGAUUCAUCUAGAUCUUGCUUUCUCGUUCCUCUCUCUGCUUGCUUGUUUCCCUGUGAAUGACUCAUCCAAUGGAGCACACAACCUGUUUGCUAAUGUGCCUCCGAGGAUAACAAUUGGUUUCAUUUUUUGUGUGAAUUGAUUUUUGUCAUAUGUUUUGCUUCUCCUUGAUUUUGUAUCAACGUGAAACGUUCGCAUG
rnacentral:lncRNA from 1 species